CAGCCGCCGCGGGAAUACGUAGGGUGCGAGCGUUAAUCGGAAUUACUGGGCGUAAAGCGUGCGCAGGCGGUUGUGUAAGACAGGUGUGAAAUCCCCGGGCUUAACCUGGGAACUGCGCUUGUGACUGCACAGCUAGAGUAUGGCAGAGGGGGGUGGAAUUCCACGUGUAGCAGUGAAAUGCGUAGAGAUGUGGAGGAACACCGAUGGCGAAGGCAGCCCCCUGGGCCAAUACUGACGCUCAUGCACGAAAGCGUGGGGAGCAAACAGGAUUAGAUACCCGGGUAGUCCCUGUCUCUUAUAC
rnacentral:rRNA from 1 species